rnacentral:lncRNA from 1 species
UUAUAAAUCUAUCUGAAAUGAGAUCUGUAAGAGGAUUAAUACAAAAACUAGAUUUAAGUACUUUACAUAAGAAAAUAUAUUUUAAACUUAUACAAGCAAAAAUACAUACAUACAUACAUAUUAUUUUAACAAUGAAAAUACAAUUUUAAGAGAACAUUAUCCACCAUGAUUUAGGGUAUGUCUGAAUUUGUUAUAUUCCACAUAUUUCGUCACCAACCGAAUAAAUAGUACACACAAAAAAAUAAUUUGAAAGUAGAACAGUUACAACACUCACGUGCAGCUACGUGGUUGAUUCUUCUCAUUGACGCAGCAUCGCCCUUCAGAA